rnacentral:rRNA from 1 species
AACGAACGCUGGCGGCAGGCCUAACACAUGCAAGUCGAGCGAGGACUUCGGUCCUAGCGGCGGACGGGUGAGUAACACGUGGGAACGUGCCCUUUGGCUCGGAACAACCCAGGGAAACUUGGGCUAAUACCGGAUAAGCCCUUACGGGGAAAGAUUUAUCGCCGAAGGAUCGGCCCGCGUCUGAUUAGCUAGUUGGUGGGGUAAUGGCCCACCAAGGCGACGAUCAGUAGCUGGUCUGAGAGGAUGAUCAGCCUCACUGGGACUGAGACACGGCCCAGACUCCUACGGGAGGCAGCAGUGGGGAAUAUUGGACAAUGGGGGAAACCCUGAUCCAGCAAUGCCGCGUGAAUGAAGAAGGCCUUAGGGUUGUAAAGUUCUUUCACCUGUGAAGAUAAUGACGGUAGCAGGAGAAGAAGCCCCGGCUAACUCCGUGCCAGCCGCCGCAGUAAUAC